GAAGUUACCUGUGUCCCACCCCCGAAGGGUGACGGCAGGGCAGGAAUGGCUGGGAAUGGCUGGGAAGGGAUGCAAGGGUGGUGCUGACCCCACUCUGUGUCUGCACAGCCAGCAGACAGAAAGCUGCUGUCUUCACUCGGAACUGGAUUACAUUUUUAGAACUAAUCCUCAGCUCUCUGACUGAAAAGAUUUGCUAAGCCCCCGCUUGCUUUUUCUUUUAGGUCUGUGCACUCCAAAAGCUUCCUUCCUCCUCCUUCCUCCUGCUUCCCAAAGUCAAUGCAUGGCUGUGGCUCUGAACUUACAGAACCUGACUUUGUUUGUGCCUUGCAUUGUUAAACAGGAUUCACAGACAGGGGGAAACCCAGCACCCAAACAGCUCAGUGCUUCACUGAUCCAUAAAAUCAUUAUAGGCAACAUUUCGGUUUCAACAAGUGCCAAAAAUUCUCCCCCCUCCCCGAAUACAAAAAUAAAGCAGAAACAAAAAUAACAAGGCUAUUAAUCUUUCAUUAAGUUAAAGGGAUGAAAAGGAAUCGCUUAAAGUAUCAUUCCUUACUUGCACCACAAGAUUGGAUGCCCCCUGCCAACUUCAAAGGCUCUAAAAGAAGCUGGUUAAUAUUGUUGGCACUGAACCAGAUUGUGGUUUAUUUUAGUUUUUCUGAUUUUUUUUCAACAAAAGAAAACAUUAAGGGUUGGACACUGAUUGCUGAGGAGCAGCUAUUGAAGGAGGGGGCCUUUGUGCUGCUACCAGUAAUGUGUCAAUUUUCAGACAUGCAAAAGCUGCUCAAAAAAUGGUGUCAGUCUCUGCACGAGGGCUGAAGUCUGUAACACUGCUCCUGUUUGCUCUGUGCUUUCAGCUCAGAUACAAAUCACACUCUCCCUGCGUGCCAGAGCAGUAGCUCUGGUGAAAUAUGGACUUUCUGCAUCCCAGGAGCAGGAACAGAUCCCCCAUAAGCCACAAAGUCCCCCAGCUGGCCCUGCACUAUGGCUGCUCCUCUUCCUUUGCUCCCCAGCCCUGAGGUUUGUGUGAUUGCAGUUGAGCUCAUUGUGCUGAGGGACAGCUCUGUGGGAAGGGCUCUGCCAGCUGCAGACUGUGCCUGGCACUGGGAACAGCCAGGAGCAGCCAGGGCACAGCACGUGCCUGGCACAGGCUGAUGAUGGGCUGAGAGGUGCCUGGCACGGGCUGAUGAUGGGCUGAGAGGUGCCUGGCACGGGUAAUGAUGGGCUGAGAGGUGCCUGGCACGGGUAAUGAUGGGCUGAGAGGUGCCUGGCACGGGUAAUGAUGGGCUGAGAGGUGCCUGGCACAGGUAAUGAUGGGCUGAGAGGUGCCUGGCACAGGUAAUGAUGGGCUGAGAGGUGCCUGGCACGGGUAAUGAUGGGCUGAGAGGUGCCUGGCACAGGUAAUGAUGGGCUGAGAGGUGCCUGGCACAGGUAAUGAUGGGCUGAGUGGUGCCUGGCACAGGUAAUGAUGGGCUGAGAGGUGCCUGGCACGGGUAAUGAUGGGCUGAGAGCUCAGUGUGCCCGGGCUCAGCAGUGCAGCCUCUGCAAGUCCUGCUCAGGUGUGUGGCACAGGCAGAACACGGUGCCUGAACGGGAUUCCCUCCCUUUUCAGAGGCAGGAACAGCUCAGGGCCCAGCACACAGACAGCUCAGCCCUGUCCCUCAGGGCAGAG